UUAGAUUUAAUAUGACAGGUAUAAAUUUGAAUAUAUUUAUAUAGAAUCUAUACAUAGUAUAUAAGUAGAAUCUCAGUUAUCCAGGAAAUUCCACAUUUAACAUUAACAUUGGUUUUUAUGACAUGGGGCUCAAAUCGUCAUAUACAUGACAUACUGUAACACAGUUAUUUGGGAACCUCAUCAGCGCCACAUUAACAACCAGUGGACAGAAUUGCAGACUACAUCUGUAAUUAGUUGAGUGUUACUGUUUCAUGUAUCAGAUUCUGCUGGUGUUUCUGCUGCUGAUGGGUCAGGUGAUGUGAAGUAUGACAAGAUUCAACUAAAGAAGUUGGACAAGAAAAAGAGAGGUGAUUCAACAGUACCAUAAUUGAAUAUAGUUGUCACACAAUUACAUCUGAAUAACAAAAACAAAUGAUUCGCUUCUAUUCAGAAAAGCCAGAUGAUCCAAAUAAAAAUAAAGUCUACUCUGAGAUGAAGACAGUGAAAACUACAGCAUCGUCUGGGCCAGUUGAUGUAACCUAUUCUGAGAUUGACCUAAAAACAAUGAAUCAACAUCCCUGCCCGAGUCAGAAUCAGUUUAUUCUCCAGUAAAAACAUUCCCGUCCAUAGUCCUUGAGGGAGAUGAACACAAUCAGUUGAGGAACAGGAACAACCAGGGAACAUGGAUGUGGUUUUUGUACCCACACUCUCCCUGUAAACACAGAAAUGUGACACACACCUUACACACCCAAUCACUUAUGGACCACACACACAAAAAUGCCUUAUACAUGAAGGAUUUCUAUCAUACUUUGCUAUCAACUGAUACAAUAUUUUGAUUAUUCUAGCUAGAGACUGUUGUUUUUAUUGGUUAUUGUACAGUAGUUUUGUAAAUCUAUUGACAUGUAUCAUUUUUGACUUGUUGGUUAUGACAUUCAAAUGAUUUAAUCAAAUAUUUGUAAAUUAUACUUAAUAAUAGAAGUGAAGUAUUAUCAAUCAAUCAAUCACAUUUUUUUAUUAAGCUCUUUUUACAUCAGCAGUUGUUACAAAGGGCUUUUGCAAAACACCAAGCCUGAAAUCCCAAGGAGAAAACAACAACACUGUUGAAGCACAAUUGCUUUGAAAAAAUCCCUAAAAGGUGCUGAAAUUUAGGAAGAAACCUAGACAGGGACCAGGCUUGGAAGGGUAACCUCUUCUGGCUGUGCCAGGUGAACAUGUUAAGAGUAUAAGUUGUAAUAAUUAAUAAAUGCAUGUGGGCUGUGUCCAGAGUCAAUAAAACCUAAUCAAGGUCAGAAUCAUGACCAGAUGGACAAGGACAGGGUCAACCUGGGAGGGGUCAGCAGAGUGGCAGCUGGAAUCGUCAGGUAUCUUCUUGAUCUGCAACACAACCAGGAAGAUUUAGAACAGGGACAACAACGAGUCUUUUAGCCUGGUACUCCGGAGGUGUGGGCCAAGACCUCAUGUCCUCCUAAGUUUAAAUGGAGCAAGAGAGAAAUUUGGAAAGCACAAGGAUUUACAGUGGAGAAGGAGAACUGACCCUACUCCCUCUGAACAAUAAUAUAGCAGCAUAAAACCAUGGGGCUGAGACUGGGGUUUCCAGUGGCACUGUAUUAUACAGUAUACCAAAUGUUUUGAUGUAAUUGCCUGUCAUUUCACAAUGUCGUUGCUUUGUUUUUUUAAUAAUAUUUGUUUUCAACCACCAGAUGGCAUGGCUGCCUACCUGUGUGCACUAACAACCUAAAUCAGAAGUUCCCAAACUAGGGGUUGUGACCCCAUAUGGGGUCACCAGAUAUGAAAAUGGAGUCGGGGGAGAAUGUUUUACAAUGGACUCUCAUAGCCUCAAAUAAAAUAAUAACGAUUA
ensembl:lncRNA